CAAGGACUCACACUAUCCUGGUCUUAGCCUCAUAAGUGAUUAAGUAUGCAUUGAGAAGAUAUUGCAAUAACUCCCUUCAUUGUGGCUUCAGUGUACAAAUAUCCACAAGGACUCCUUCUUUACCAUUCUAGUUCAGUGCUCAUAUCUCUACAACACAGGGAUUUCUCCAUCUUUCAAAAUAUGGUCUCUACACUGGUACCAGGACUAGAAUGUGCAAUUAGAAGCACAGGAAGAUGAAGUUUGGUGAACCUCUUACUUAAAAGAUAUCUCAUCUCCCCUUUCCACACAACUGAAGCAACCUAAUCCACUUCAUUCAUUUUACAUUUAGAAUUACAUUUUAGAAUUGCACAUUUUCUCGGGUCAACACGUGUCAAGGAUUUAGCCCUAUGGGCCCUGAAAUAGACACUAUCUUUUUCAUUCCUUUGAUUUACUCAUGGCAUGCUUAGACAUUUAUUACAGCAUCUCAUUAAGUAGUGAAUGAGACUCAUGUGUGCAGAACAGAUCUAAAAUUGUUUCUGAGAUGUAGAUUUUUUCGAAAAGUCUCAACAUUUCUUCCACACAAAGAUAGAUGUCAUACCUAUGUAUCAAUUAGAGCUUUAAUGGAAUAAGAUUAUCUGUUCUAUGGUAAUAAAGUUUUCUUUCUUCUGAGCA
rnacentral:lncRNA from 1 species